AAGACAAAGAGCUCUUUUAGAAUUUGUCCAGCAGCUUUUCUGAUUUUUACUGGAAGGCCCCU
rnacentral:snRNA from 1 species